rnacentral:piRNA from 1 species
UAAGACUUCUCUCAGCACAGAAUGCCU